UAUAAAUUUGUAGCAGCAGAGACAUACCCCUGUGAUCGCCAAUCUAUUUAUGAUGCACUUGCCACAGAGCGACAAUGUCAGGUCAGUGAAGAUGAACUCGCAAUAACCUGUGUUUAUAUUUACGUUUUUGAGCCGUUUGAAUAGUUUUAAAUUGAGUUCGCAAUGACUACAGAUAAUAUCGAUCUUGAGUGUGGAGUUCCAGCGCGUAGGCAACAAUGAAGAAUAAAGGGGUAUCGAAUGGUUUUCCGUGCAGGAUUGCACGAGGGAUGUCGCGAGACUUUCGGAAAGCGUAAAAAUACUCGAGCCGCAGGCGAGUGUAUUUUUACGCUUUCCGAAAGUCGAGCAACAUCCCAAGUGCAUGGAUUACGCUAUCCUGCUUGGAAAACCAUUUGGUAGUUGUUUUAUAAAAUAACUACAGUGAAACAAUG